UUUAAGUUGCAUAUGAAAUCAUUUCUUUUCUGUGUACCUUUAUCCAAAUACACAUGAGCACUAAGAUUUUUACAGUAUUUCAUUGUCAAUAAAUUUGGAAAAUACUAGCAUGGUGCCACCAUGAUUGGCGUGGCUGGGGCCUAAUUUAUAACUUUGUAGUAACUUGUGACUUAAACUCACCAAAUUGUCAUACACUCAAAAUGUCUUUGAUUUGGAAAUGCUAAUCAUUGUCUUUCUCUCAACAGAACUGGUUAGGUCGAAGAGAGGGCUCCAAGCCUUGACCAAGAGGCCCAUUGUGAUCGCUGCCUUUGUCCACGGCUGGUGCUGCUUGACCGUGAGCCUAGUAUCGAUUAGGUCAAGCUCAACAUGCUCAGCCUUCACCACGGAUUUUUUACUGGACGCAAAUGGAAUAGUUGGAGUCAGAGAGCUGCCCUAUGUCUAAAAAAUGCACAAAAUAACCUUAUGGAAGAAGGAAGCCCAAAGGCAGAGAAUUCUUCUGAAAUAACCUGAUUCAUAGGUAUGUAUGAACAUCUCUCUCUCUCUUUUUCUAUAUAUAUAUAUAUGCCUCAGAUAUAUAUAUACACACACACACAUAUAUAGCUAUGAUAUACACUGUAUUCCCAGAGAAUCUGUGCUACUGUUAAGUUGUUGGUCAUCACUAAACAAGAUCCUCAGUAUUUUCCACCAAUCCUACUAGAUCUUUCAUAUUUGCCACAGCUCUUUCUCAUUCCUACAGCAAUCAAUCACCAAGUCUCAUCAGUGCUCCCUCCUAAAUUCCUCCCCAGUCCACUUGAUUUCAUGCAUUCCCAGGGCUUCUCCAGGGUUCUGACCACAUCCCUUCCCUAUUGAUUACAGCACUAAAGUCCCAAUGAGUUUUCCUAUCUUUCCUACUGUUCCUCAUCUUUUCUGCAUUUCAGUAAUCAUCUGGGACUUCUCUUGACUUCUAAGACAUGUCACAUUCUCUUCCUCCACAAUUUUCCACAUGUCUUCCUAUUCCCUGAAACACUUUUUCUCUCUAUUCUUUAUUUAGACCGUAUCUAAUUAUACUGCAGGUUCCCAACUAAAUAUCACCUUUUUAGUGUGUCAUUUCCAGAUGUGUAGGUCUGUUUAGGUUCCCUUCCUGUAUGUUCUAUCAUAAUCGUCAAUUUGAUUUAUUGCAUUUAUUUGUUGAAUGUGUCUUCCCUGCUAGUCUGUAAAUUAAAUUCCUUGAGGGUAAGGAGAGUCUUCCUCAUUCCUGUGCUCUCAGUUCCAGAGUUCCAUUCCAGGAAUCCACAACCCUCCCAGGACUCUAUUUUCCUUCCUGCUUUUCUCCUUGCCAAACCCCCCAGAACCUUUAUCUCGUCUGGGAGAGGUUGAGAAACCUCUUCUUACACAACCUGCUUUCUUCUGAAUACUUUGUCUUUGCCAAGGCCAAAUCUUUUGAAACGCAAAAGCACAGAAUUGAUCUUUGUGUUCUCUGUAUUCUGCUGUUUCAUCCCUCUGCCAAGAUAAUAGCUGAUGGAAUGGCAGACAAGUAUGGGGUAGAGGAGUAUGUUUGUUGGGGAGAGAAGAGCAAUCCAAUGUUAUCUCAACCGUCAGUCACCUCACAUUCAUAGUUAGCACCUUACCCAAGGAUGUUGACGUCUGUCCUCCAUGACUUCUGGAUCCAGUCCCACACUGCUUAGGUUCUCCCUUCAAGACUAAAAGUCUUAUUCUCCCAGAAGCUGGGAAUUUUGCUUGCUGAUAGCCAUCAGCUUUUAGCUCUCUCUGGGAAUUUCCCUCAGCCUUAAACAGCCUCCUUUCCUAGAGUGGGGUCCCUUCCCUUAAAGCAUAUCAUAUUCAGUAUAAAGGCAGGCCCCUUUCCCUAACCCAAUCCGAGGAGUUGACUUAUCUUGUUGUGACUACAUUACAGCCCAUCUUCUUGAGCCUAUCCUGCCUCCUUCCCUCCGCUGGAAAUGCCAGUCCCAAGAAAAGUCCAGUAAAUUUUGUGCACACAGAUCUCUAUCUCGGGGUCUCCUUCCUGGGAGGCUUGUCCUGCAACAGCCAACUUUAGACUCCUUCUGCCUGUAAA
ensembl:lincRNA